rnacentral:rRNA from 1 species
CCGCCAUGGCCUCGGGAUUAGUUUGAUCCUGGCUCAGAGUGAACGCUGGCGGCAGGCCUAAUACAUGCAAGUCGAACGGCAGCACAGCAGAGCUUGCUCUGUGGGCGGCGAGUGGCGGACGGGUGAGGAAUACAUGGGAAUCUGCCCAGUCGUGGGGGAUAACGUAGGGAAACUUACGCUAAUACCGCAUGCGCCCUUCGGGGGAAAGCCGGGGACCUUCGGGCCUGGCGCGAUUGGAUGAGCCCAUGUCGGAUUAGCUAGUUGGCGGGGUAAAGGCCCACCAAGGCGACGAUCCGUAGCGGGUCUGAGAGGACGGCCCGCCACACUGGGACUGAGACACGGCCCAGACUCCUACGGGAGGCAGCAGUGGGGAAUUUUGGACAAUGGGGGCAACCCUGAUCCAGCCAUUCCGCGUGAGUGAAGAAGGCCUUCGGGUUGUAAAGCUCUUUCGGCAGGAACGAAAAGGCUCUCUCUAACAUAGGGGGUCAAUGACGGUACCUGAAGAAGAAGCACCGGCUAACUACGUGCCAGCAGCCGCGGUAAUACGUAGGGUGCGAGCGUUAAUCGGAAUUACUGGGCGUAAAGCGUGCGCAGGCGGCUUUGUAAGACAGAUGUGAAAUCCCCGGGCUUAACCUGGGAACUGCGUUUGUGACUGCAAGGCUCGAGUGCGGCAGAGGGGGGUGGAAUUCCACGUGUAGCAGUGAAAUGCGUAGAGAUGUGGAGGAACACCGAUGGCGAAGGCAGCCCCCUGGGUCGACACUGACGCUCAUGCACGAAAGCGUGGGUAGCAAACAGGAUUAGAUACCCUGGUAGUCC